rnacentral:rRNA from 1 species
UACAGAGGUCUCAAGCGUUGUUCGGAUUCAUUGGGCGUAAAGGGUGCGUAGGUGGCGCCAUAAGUCAGGUGUGAAAUCUCGGGGCUCAACCCCGAAACUGCACUUGAUACUGUGGUGCUGGAGUACUGGAGAGGAGAUUGGAAUUUACGGUUUAGCAGUGAAAUGCGUAGAUAUCGUAAGGAAGACCAGUGGCGAAGGCGAAUCUCUGGACAGUUACUGACACUGAGGCACGAAGGCCAGGGGAGCAAACGGG